rnacentral:rRNA from 1 species
GACGAACGCUGGCGGCGUGCUUAAUACAUGCAAGUCAACUGAACUUUAGGUAGCAAUAUUUAAAGGGAGGUGGCGCACGGGUGAGUAACACGUAGGUAAUCUGCCUUCAGGACUGACAUAAUUCCGCGAAAGCGGGACUAAAAUCAGAUGAUGCAGCGGCUCGACAUCGAGACAGUUGUUAAACCUUCGGGGCCUGAAGAUGAGCCUGCGUCUGAUUAGGUAGUUGGCGGGGUAAAAGCCCACCAAGCCUGCGAUCAGUAGCUGGUCUGAGAGGAUGAUCAGCCACACUGGAACUGAGACACGGUCCAGACUCCUACGGGAGCAGCAGUAAGGAAUAUUGCUCAAUGGCCGAAAGGCUGAAGCAGCAACGCCGCGUGGAGGAUGAAAUACUUUAGUAUGUAAACUCCUGUAAGAGGGGAAAAAUAUACAGCUAUGCUGUGUUGAUUGUACCUCAGAGUAAGCACCGGCUAACUACGUGCCAGCA